UACUGUUUCUUACUUUUCAAGCAUUGUUGUUAGAUAAUUACUGAAGUACUCGAAAGGCAUUGGUGUUGGUUACAUCUGUCAAUCCUCUGGCUUAAUUCUUAAUAUAAUGCUCUAUAAUAUUUUAUGCUGGUUGUGCUUUACAGACUGUUCCAAGGGUGGUUGUAUUCGAUCAUAAGACUAAGACCAAUGUGCUUCAAUGGCCUGUGGAAGAGGUAGAGAGCUUGAGAUCGAACAAGAGAGAAUUCAACAAAGUCAAACUUGGAGCUGGAUCAAUUGUACCUCUCGAUGUUGGCAGAGCCUCACAGGUUUGUGACUUCUUAUAGUUUGAG
rnacentral:lncRNA from 1 species